rnacentral:rRNA from 1 species
AAUUACUGGGCGUAAAGCGCACGUAGGCGGAUUAGUAAGUAUGAGGUGAAAUCCGGGGCUCAACCCCGGAACUGCCUUGUAAACUCCUGGUCUUGAGUUCGAGAGAGGUGAGUGGAAUUCCGAGUGUAGAGGUGAAAUUCGUAGAUAUUCGGAGGAACACCAGUGGCGAAGGCGGCUCACUGGCUCGAUACUGACGCUGAGGUGCGAAAGUGUGGGGAGCAAACAGGAUUAGAUACCCUGGUAGUCCACACCGUAAACGAUGAAUGCCAGACGUCAGCAAGCAUGCUUGUUGGUGUCACACCUAACGGAUUAAGCAUUCCGCCUGGGGAGUACGGUCGCAAGAUUAAAACUCAAAUGAAUUGACGGGGGGCCCGCACAAGCGGUGGAGCAUGUGGUUUAAUUCGAUGCAACGCGAAGAACCUUACCUACUCUUGACAUACUAGAAACUUUUCAGAGAUGAAUUGGUGCCUUCGGGAAUCUAGAUACAGGUGCUGCAUGGCU